CACAGAUGAAGAGAUUCUUGGGUUCAGUAAAGAUCCAUGUAUUUGUGCCGACAUUUUCUCACAAAUUUUACGAAUUUUGGCUAAAAGCUACUAGGUGCAGUGGAGAGUGUCUUAAAACUUCGGCUUGGACAACGCUUACUACUAAUUUUGGUGUUGGAUUAUGCGAGCGCCGAAAUGAUGAACGAGCGGAGUGACUUCCGAGACCUCAUAAUGGAGAUCAUCUCUAAACAAAGGCCGGUCAACUAUGCUAGACCUCCAUUCUGAGGUCGCUCCAUUAUUUGUGUGCCUUACUUUUCCUAUAGAUGUUAAUCCUCAUUCAAAUCCAGCGAGGUAAGGGUUGGAAAAAAAGCAAAGUCUAACAGAUUCCCUUUUACUCUCAUGUUAGUGGUGCCAGACCAGAAAAACUUUGAUAAUACAGGUUCUGAAAUUAAUAUCGGUUAUGCAUGUGUGACGCACAGCUGGCGCUUCUCCUCCAAGUUGUGGUUUUAUGUCGGUGCCUCGCCAUGUAACAG